ACGCUGUUAGCUCAGCAGGUUAGAGCAAUUGCCUUCUAAGCAAUCGGACACUGGUUCGAUUCCAGUACAGAGUACCA
rnacentral:tRNA from 2 species